rnacentral:rRNA from 1 species
UACGUAGGGUCCGAGCGUUGUCCGGAAUUAUUGGGCGUAAAGGGCUCGUAGGCGGUUUGUCGCGUCGGGAGUGAAAACACGGGGCUUAACCCCGUGCCUGCUUCCGAUACGGGCAGACUAGAGGUAUGCAGGGGAGAACGGAAUUCCUGGUGUAGCGGUGAAAUGCGCAGAUAUCAGGAGGAACACCGGUGGCGAAGGCGGUUCUCUGGGCCGAUACUGACGCUGAGGAGCGAAAGCGUGGGGAGCGAACAGG